UGUUCCCUACGGGAGGCAGCAGUAGGGAAUUUUCGUCAAUGGGCGCAAGCCUGAACGAGCAAUGCCGCGUGAACGAGGAAGGUCUUCGGAUCGUGAAGUUCUGUUGAAGGGGAAAAAGAGCGGAGAGAGGAAAUGGGCUCCGAUUGAUAUUACACUUCGAGGAAGUCACGGCUCACUACGCGCCAGCAGCCGCGGUAAUACGUAGGUGGCGAGCGUUAUCCGGAAUGCUUGGGCGUAAAGGG
rnacentral:rRNA from 1 species